UCCGGCUUGACGCCGGCAGUCCCCCGAGAGUCCUCAGCAUGACCUGUUAGUAACACGGGGCAAGGGUUGCGCUCGUUGCGGGACUUAACCCAACAUCUCACGACACGAGCUGACGACAACCAUGCACCACCUGUAUACCGCCCUUGCGGACCUGCCAUCUCUGACAGUUUUCGGUAUAUGUCAAGCCUUGGUAAGGUUCUUCGCGUUGCGUCGAAUUAAGCCACAUGCUCCGCCGCUUGUGCGGGCCCCCGUCAAUUCCUUUGAGUUUCAACCUUGCGGCCGUACUCCCCAGGCGGUCAACUUCACGCGUUAGCUUCGUUACUGAGUCAGUGAAGACCCAACAACCAGUUGACAUCGUUUAGGGCGUGGACUAC
rnacentral:misc_RNA from 1 species